rnacentral:misc_RNA from 1 species
GGGUUUAGGAGAGAAACCCAGAAAUCCAAACAGAAUUGCAUCAAUCUACCACUGCGAAAACGAUUAAUCAUCCUCCUUUACUAUCAGUUUGCCUUCAUUGAGUUCUUUCUACUAGAAAAGGGAAGAUUUGAAAGGACAAAGAACAACUAGCGGUUGCAAAAGCUUCCCACCUCCAUUGCCAGUGAUUUGCAAAAAACCCAGAC